rnacentral:rRNA from 1 species
UGGGGAAUUUUGGACAAUGGGCGCAAGCCUGAUCCAGCCAUGCCGCGUGUGGGAAGAAGGCCUUCGGGUUGUAAACCACUUUUGUCAGGGAAGAAACGGCUCUUACUAAUAUUAGGAGCUAAUGACGGUACCUGAAGAAUAAGCACCGGCUAACUACGUGCCAGCAGCCGCGGUAAUACGUAGGGUGCAAGCGUUAAUCGGAAUUACUGGGCGUAAAGCGUGCGCAGGCGGUUAUAUAAGACAGAGGUGAAAUCCCCGGGCUCAACCUGGGAACUGCCUUUGUGACUGCAUAGCUAGAGUACGGUAGAGGGGGAUGGAAUUCCGCGUGUAGCAGUGAAAUGCGUAGAUAUGCGGAGGAACACCGAUGGCGAAGGCAAUCCCCUGGACCUGUACUGACGCUCAUGCACGAAAGCGUGGGGAGCAAACA